GUCAUAUUUUCUAUUUUGAGACUAUCAUCACAAAACUUUUUGGUUUUAAAGUUUACCCACAUAAGCUUUGUUCUCUUACUUUUAGACCUAAAAGAGAGGGACUGGGAGAAGCAUGCGGCAGGCCGCCACACCCAACGGUGGCGUACCAUGCGUCGGGCUUAGCUACGGUUCUCGCUUCUAGGUUUUGGCGACCUCAUCUGUCGGUCACUACCACCGUUAUACAGCAGCACACAGUCACUCACCCGCUUAUGCCACCGAUAACCAUCGCCAGGCCCCGAAUCCAGUUCCGGCGAUAAACGAAAUCGAAAGCGGCAACUGAGUUAUUCCCUUUCUUCCCUUAAUUGCCGGAGGUUUCGACUUCGUCCCUCACAUCGGUUACCUGCAAAACCCUAGCCUUGCUCAACACCAUCUAUAGCCCUAAUCGAUCACUAGGGCGUCUGAAUCGUCCUCAAUCGAAGAUCCAGUAAAAAUCCAGUAAAAAAUAACAACACCAGGAAGAACAAUGUUUCGAACUCAAAAACCCGAGGAAGUUAAUCACAAAUAAAACUUAUGUUGGUUAUUCGCAAUGAGUCAGAUUUGGUUACAGUCAUGGUGCCGGAGUCACCAGCGUGAUCGGCGGUGAUGGAUCGUGGUGGUGACGAUUGUUUGGAUUGGUCGCCGUCUAACAUCGUGGUGGAGGUGAGUUCCUUUGAAGAUUUGGAGACAGAGGGCCAAGGUGAUACGUGUAAAUAGGCUUUGUGGAAUAGGUUUUCUAAUGGAGUCGCGGAUGCGGUUAGUCCGGUUAUGGGUGCAGCUUGGCUUGCGCUCAGUGAGUCGACUAAACCGACGCUUAAGCUGUCUUCUUCGGAGUCAUUAAAAGCGCUUUCUGAUACUAGCUCAAUAAUUUUAUCACAAGUUAGUUCUUCGGCUAACCAAAGACGUGAAGUUAAAAAAGAUUGCAGUUUUGCAUCUGGGUAUGCUAAAAAGACUAAUGAAAUCAGCAAAAUCUAAUCCUAAGAGACUUAAACCUGGAUUCCUAGACCUGACCAAAGGAUCGCCAGAUGAUCCAAUAUCAAACAAAAGAGUUAAGACAAAUUGUUCCAAACAGUGCCAAGCAUUGAUGCUUUGCCGGAACGCAUCAUCAAGCACAUGCUUUUCUUUGUUGACAUGCAUGGGUUGUGUAGCCAUACGGGUCAGAUCGUUGCUUGGGUUUUUGGUCAGCUUGCAUGUGACCUUUCCCGGGUCAGCUCUUGGAUUUUGGUUCAGCUUAUAGGUAACAUUUUCUUCGUAACAGGUCAAUCUGCAUAUGGUUGUGUCAAAUUGUUCUUACGUAUGAUUUCUUUAGCAAAUAGUAAAUGAUGAAACAAAGAAGACAAACCUCAUGAGUCUUUAUUUCAAGGCACUACAAAAAAAAAUCUAUUGAAAUUGAUUCGAAACUUGCUGUAAUGUUGAUUGCUAAUUGUAGUGAAUUAUAUUUCAAAUAUAUAUAUAUAUAUAUAUAUAUAUAUAUAGAGAGAGAGAGAGAGAGAGAGAGAGCGGUUAACCUACAUUAUUAGUAAUCGUACAUUACAUACGUGAUAAUCCUGACCGUAGGAUCAAGGGAUUAAAAGCGUGAUUAAAUAAUUGUUUAAAUGUCUGUCUAAAACGUAAUUAUGUGAACCAAAGGUUAUAAUGGUCAAUUUCCUAUACCUAAAUACCCGGCUAAAUCUCAGUAUCUAAUCAAAAAACCAUAUUUGAUAAUCAAAAAUUUCGGUGACUUUCAAACGAUUCCGACCGACGGAGAAAGACGAUUAACAACGGUGAACAACCAACGACCAUCGAUUUCACUUGAGAAUGACGAAUACGGCAUUAAGAGCUAAAAGAGAAAGACGGAGCAAGAAAAGAAAUGAUCCGGUGAAGCCGGUGCACAUUAGCGGCAUAACUACAGGGGUUGCUGAAGAUGAUGAUGAUUUUGAGCCCCCGAUUCAGUCGAUAAUGACAAAGCAACCUCAGAAAUUAAAGGUUAAUAAAAAGCAUACAAAAUUAAGUCUACAAGAUGAUGAUGAUGACUUUGAAGUACCUAUUAGAGACUUGAUAGUCAAAAGGGGUGAAAACACAAGAAAAAGGCCAAAUACUACAACUAACCAAGAUGGUGAUGACUUUGAGCCAGUAAAAAAGAAACAAUCGAAAAACGAAAAGCAGAUGGAUCCUAUCGAGGGGAAACGGAAGAUUACCGAUGCAGAACCUAUUAGGACAGAACCAAGACCGUACUAUGAUUAUCAUCAUGAUGUAAUAAGCCUACGGUGCAGUCCUUCAGGUUUUAUGGAUACAGUUAAGCACUUUACUGAAGCGCAGGUGGCGGAUGUGAAGAGCAUUGGAUUUGGUGAGGUCCUUAAUAUAAAGCUUUAUCAUAUAAGCACACGUUUAGGGUAUUGGCUCGUACGAAACUAUGACGAGCAAUACAGCACACUAAACAUAGGAAAUCACAAGAUAGAAAUCACCCGAGAUUCAGUACAUGACGUGUUUGGUAUUCCAAAGGGUAAUGUUAUUGUACGAGAAAAAAAUAAGCCUAGGAAAGGAGCAAUAGUGGAGAAAAAUACGGCUACUCAAGGCGCAGAAACAACCAUAGAUGAGUUCAAAAACCAGUGGCCAGACACAAACAAAAUUACUCAUACUUUACUUGCAAGAACUAUGUCAAAGCAAACCACUGGCGGACGAUUAUUCAAGCUAAAUUUCCUAGCCUACUGGAACACUUUGUUUGUAGAGAUAACAAAGUCAACAACUGUUAAACAAAGUUUUCUACUUGCAAUUGACAAAGAGGAAGACAUUCCAAAUCUGGAUUGGUGCUCCUUCGUUUUAGAAUCGCUGAAACGAACAAGACAAGGUUGGAAAAAGUUAGACUCACAAUACAAUGGCCCGGUUGCAUUCCUAACGCUUCUAUACAGCCAUUAUUUCAACGAAAGACACAAAAUUUUCGAUGAAGCUGUCAAAAUGCCUGUCAUACAGUAUGUAACCUCUGGUAUGAUCGACGACGUGGAAGAAUAUUUAUACAACAACGGGCCGCUAAAUGUUGAAGAUUGUGAUGAAGUGGAGAAAGACGAAGGAGCAAAUGAUAAUCGCCAGGAUCAACAACAUGUUACUGCCUCACGCAUCAACGGCAAUGAUCAUCAAAAUCAAGAGUCUACGGCCGCACCAUUCAAAAUCGUAAAACAGAACACUUCGACGCUGUACACUGACCUUUUCGCUGACAACAUCCCGAUACACGAGGCAGCUGCGGUACAAGAAAACCUCACCGAAUUCAAUACAUUAGAUCAACGUAUGGAAGAUACGGAUGAGUACAUAAUACCACCAGUGGAUACGACACAUGUCUACAACAGAAGAAACCUGGCUGGAAACCUGGAUGGGGAAGAUCCGAUUGACGAAGGUGACAUACCAUCAAAUACGGAUUGGUUUGAUGGGUGGAAUCCGAAUGAACAUAUUUCAGCUUUGAAUUUAGAUGAAAUGGACAUAGGGACACAAACGCAAAAAGAGAUUGACUACUGCAGCACUCCGGUUCAACUAACCGGGGUGAUCUAUGAUCAUGCUGCGUGGGAAGCCUCGAAAAAAAGUAAAAAGGUGUUGUUGAAAACAAUGGACAAUAAUAUAAAGAAAUACAUUUCUCUGGUUUCGGAUAUGAAUAAUCUCGUUAAGGGGGUAAAGGAGAAGUUUUUCUGGGAUGUUGAAAUUAUGGAAAGGUGUAAAAAAUGGAAUGAUGCGGUUAAAAAUACAGUUUCGAUACCUGAUGACGUAAGCUCUGCUGGUGAUGAGGUGGUUCAAAACAAAGUUGGACAGGGUGGCGAAACAAAUCAAGAGUUAGAGGGCGAUGGAGACGCAAGGUUGGAACAUGAAAACACAGGGAAAGAUAAAGGAUGUGAUGAUGUUCAUAAUACCCCAUUUGAUGAUGGUGGUAUUUCGGACUCAUGCCUGGCUGCCUUACAAACCAUCGAACCAGGCGUAUACAGACAGGCUACAGAAGUGGCACAAGCAGAUGUGGUAAACAACAUGGACCAACAUGUAAAUUUGGCAGAGUGCAGUCAGCAACAAGCACAUAAACAGAAUACAAUAACCGACGCCUAUGAUAAAGAAAAGCCUCCGACAACAUCAGCUGAUGAACCUGAUGAAGUGACCGAAGCAGAAAUGCAGUCGGUUGAGACACUUUUAAAAUUGGCUCCAAUCCUACAAACAUCAAGUGCAAGUAAUCAAAAGACUCCUGUGUCAGCGAACACAAAUAAAACGGAUGACGAGAGGCAUACACACCUAGUGAGAACGCGUAUCAACAUGAUCAGGGAAAAGAACGAAAAGCGGAUGGCAGAACUAGGUGACGCAUACAGAUCACCUUACUGCAACAGGGUAACCGACUUAUAUGAGCCACUUUUGGGACGUGACCAAACAAUCAUCUGUUAUCUCUUAGCUCCGGUGGGAGAUAUUGGGACAUUGAUAUACAAGUCUGACAGUGGAGUCGAAACGCUAAAAAUCAUAUUUGAAACCUUCCACCCAUCGCAAUACAUAUCAUAUGGUGGAAUGGACGCAUUUGUAGAUGUUUUAAACUUUGAAGAGAAAAAAAGGGACAAAAAAUCUUCACCCUACAGGCUGUUCUUGCCAACUACAAUAUUGCAAGACGAAAUGUUUGAGCCAAAAAUCACAGAUAGUGAUCGAUUGAAAGUAUUCGGACCAAGCGUAGACGAUAUAUUGUGUAAGUAUCAGGUGAAGAAAGUUGACAAACUUGAUCUCAUCUUCAUUCCAGUACUACUUUCUGAUCAUAUGCUUUAACAUGAAAAAUGGAGAUAUCGAGUUAAUAGAUAACUCUAGGUAUGCCGAAUCGUUUACCAAACGCUACCGUGGACGCCCCGAAAAGCUGCGGAGAGUUCUAAUACUAUACCUAAAAGGCAAAAUUGGACAAAAAGAGUGGAUAACAAAGUUGGAAAAGGCAAAAAUAAUUCGAAAGGAAAUGGAUUGGAGAACUCUUCAAAACGGUUGUGACUGUGGUGUCUUCACUAUGAGACAUAUGGAGACAUACAAGGGCAAAUCUCCAUGGAAUGCAGGGUUUAAAACGGAAGACCAAAAGAAGAUGCAAGAUUCACAACUACGGUUUUUGCGGUACAGGUAUCUUAGUAAGAUUGUAUUGUCCGACUACAAUCUUAUAAGGAAAGAGGUAUACGACAAAGCUACGGACUUUAUGAAGAAUUCGAUACCCGCAGAUGCUUUGCACGAUCUAGAUAGCAAAAUAAGUAACAGAUUGGAUCAGUUCUUCAACCUCAAAAAGGGGAAACAAAAUGAAAAGUCGUAGGACUACUAUCUUGCUGUCUUUUGUUCCAAACAUCUUUGACAUGUUGGAUUUUUUAUUUUUAUUUAUAAUUCUAAUAAUUUCUGGUUAUAAACAUAAA